rnacentral:rRNA from 1 species
UACGGGGGGGGGCAAGCGUUGUUCGGAAUUACUGGGCGUAAAGGGCUCGUAGGUGGCCAACUAAGUCAGACGUGAAAUCCCUCGGCUUAACCGGGGAACUGCGUCUGAUACUGGAUGGCUAGAGAUUGGGAGAGGGAUGCGGAAUUCCAGGUGUAGCGGUGAAAUGCGUAGAUAUCUGGAGGAACACCUGAGGCGAAGGCGGGUUGCUGGGCCGACACUGACGCUGAGGCGCGAAAGCCAGGGGAGCAAACGGG